GCCCAGACUCCUACGGGAGGCAGCAGUGAGGAAUAUUGGUCAAUGGGCGAGAGCCUGAACCAGCCAAGUCGCGUGAGGGAAGACGGCCCUACGAGUUGUAAACCUCUUUUGUCAGGGAGCAAGAACGGAUACGUGUAUCCGAGCGAGAGUACCUGAAGAAAAAGCAUCGGCUAACUCCGUGCCAGCAGCCGCGGUAAUACGGAGGAUGCGAGCGUUAUCCGGAUUUACUGGGUGUAAAGGGCGUGUAGGCGGGAAAGCAAGUCAGAUGUGAAAACCACGGGCUCAACCUGUGGCCUGCAUUUGAAACUGUUUUUCUUGAGUACUGGAGAGGCAGACGGAAUUCCUAGUGUAGCGGUGAAAUGCGUAGAUAUUAGGAGGAACACCAGUGGCGAAGGCGGUCUGCUGGACAGCAACUGACGCUGAGGCGCGAAAGCGUGGGGAGCAAACAGGAUUAGAUACCCUCGUA
rnacentral:rRNA from 1 species